rnacentral:miRNA from 1 species
CAGUUACGUUAGCACUUACCA